GGACUACUGGGGUUUCUAAUCCUGUUUGCUCCCCACGCUUUCGCGCCUCAGCGUCAGUAUUGGUCCAGAAAGUCGCCUUCGCCACUGGUGUUCCUUCCGGUAUCUACGCAUUUCACCGCUACACCGGAAAUUCCACUUUCCUCUACCAUACUCUAGUUGUGCAGUAUCAAAUGCAGUUCCCAGGUUAAGCCCGGGUCUUUCACAUCUGACUUACAUAACCGCCUACGCGCUCUUUACGCCCAGUAAUUCCGAUUAACGCUCGCACCCUCUGUAUUACCGCGGCGGCUGGCAC
rnacentral:rRNA from 2 species